UUCAGCAUAAGUAUAUGCAUUUUUAGUAUAAGUAUAGCCCAUCCAAUAUUUGAGACAUAUUUAUGCUAAAAUAAUCAUUGUUCAAUAGACUAUUAAUAUCAGAUUUUAUGAUUGUCUUGUAU
rnacentral:miRNA from 1 species